CUGUUCCUCUAGCAUCUUUCAAAUGUCUCUCAGGACAACUGGGAAUUAGAGAAUCUUGCAUUACUUCGAGACAAUACUUGACGGUGAUGGUAAGUCUUGGUGAGGAAUGAAGUAUAAAGCCAUUGAUCCCCACGUAUAACAUGUCAGUCAAUUUAUAGAGUAAAUGUGAACUACAAUUGAGUUCUUACCAAGUCUUCUCUCUUUGUAUUUGUAAGAGGAUUAUUUGAAGGAGCUGAAUAGCAUUUUUUUCAUAGCCAGUUAUUGCUGCAGCAAAUGAUCGAGCCAAAAAGCAAAUAGAAGCUCUAGAUAAUAUUCUUCCUUUUUAUAUUUCAGGUGGGCAAUUUUAUCUUUUUCAAUCGCUAAAGAACUACUUUUUCCAUUUACUUUUAGAAUUUUUAUAGUACCAGUUUCUAGAAACAAAAGAACUACUCUUUCCGUUCCACUUUAUGUGACCUGAUCCAUAGUACGAAUAAAUGUACAUAUUUAAAAACUAAAUAAAAUGUACUAUAAGUUACGAUAGUUAACAAUUCAAAAUAGUUUAAAUAUUAAAUCGUGUUCAAAUACAACAUCUUCAACUCUCCAAAUAGUAACUAGAUCACACAAAUUGGAACAGAGGGAGUGUAAGCUUUCCAUGUGACCCUGGUUCUAUUUGUUUUUAUACUGUUGAGUUGUACUUGCAAUUUAUGUAAUUUCAAAGUAAUAUAGUCUAUGAGCAAUAACAACCUGGUGAAAGAAAGUUCUUAUUAUUAAUUUCCUUUUUAAAUAUAAAAUAUAUAGUAGUUAAAUGUUGUUAGCUUUACGACCAAUUCACUCUUCUCUGGUCAACAUGUUCUAAUGGCAAUAGCAAAGCAGUUUUAAACAUCUGCUAGCCAACAGUAUCUGAAAUUGUCAAGGAAGGAAUCAUGAGAAUUCCUACAUCUCAUUUUUGAUCAAAAAAGAGAAUUCGCACAUCUCUUUAUUUAUAACUGAUUAAGUUAUUUGGUGCAGGCCACUGGGAGAUAUAAAUUUUGCAUGUGGUUUUGCUUUUGUAGACUACUGUUGUAUACCAUUCUCUUCGUAAAUCUUCAUAGUAAUAGUGACACUUUAUUUUUGAUCACUUUCCAUUCCCUGUCUCUAAUUGUGUUUCUGGUUUAAGUCUUUUCCUAAUUAUUUACAGAAAAGUACGACAGUUGAAUUAUUGAUCGUAUCUCAUUCCCAAGUGACAAGUCUAAUAUAAAUUUUCUGUGCAGUUUCAAAAAAAUUCAAUGCUGAAAUAAUUUUAAUUAUAGAAGAAUAAAGUACCCAUUUGUCAAUCUUUAACGAUAAAAGUUAUUUGAACUUUUUGUUAAUGUAAGGGAGAACUGUCAUGGUUAAUGAAAUAGUCUUCCUAUGAAUGUUUCAUUAUGUUUGUUAACAGCCAGUUAUGCUGUCUGUACCUGAAUCAUAUUAGCAAAUUACCAUUAAAUGAGCUAACAAUAUUGUAGUUGCUCUUUCAGAUUCAUUUUGCACUAGAAGUUAGUAUUACUGAAUGCAGACUAAAGAAACCAGUAUACUGAAUUAGUUGUUCUGACUAAUGCCAAAAAGAUGAGUUAGUCAUUGAAAACUCUCAUGACAUGCUUACAAUUUUUUGUGUUCUGGUGAAACAGUUAAUUACAGUUGAGCAACACAUUCAUGUUCAGUAGUGCACCAUCUGCAUUUGACAUUUUAAUAAACUAAAGCUAAAACAUUUCAUGGUGAGAGUUGAUACGUAAACUCUCUGGGUCUCUUCUAUCCAGCAACAAGACUAUUGCAGAUAGUUCGAACCCUAUGCCUCAAAGAUUGUGAUACUACUGCUACAGUACUAGGGGAGGAAGAUAUGAUUUCUGACUUUUGGUAGAUUGGAGUAUCAAAUGUAUUGAACUUUAAUGCAUGUUUAACACUGUUGUUCGACGGAGCCACCUGCCACAAAAUCCACUUCCAAAUAUGAUAGAAUGCUAUAGUUGAGGCAUUUUAUUAAUCCUAAACUUGACCUAUAUAGUGGGAGUCUCACAUUUUAUUGGUCGACAUUCUGUCCAACAAUUGAAAAAUUUAGCCGAUACAAUCUGAAGUCAUGAAGGAAAGAAUCAUGAGAAUACCAAUUUGAGCACCUUUUAUGUGCCGAACUUCGGUGAUUCUCAGGUAGAGAUGACCUUCACGGUUCUCUCACCUAGCUAAUGCUGCAAAACAGAUGGGAAAUACAAGAACUGUAGAGAUUUUAGGAGAAAGCUCUGCAAGUGGGAAGAUUUGUAGAUUGCUACUAUUAUUUUCAAUUUAUAUUGUCUGCCAUAAUAUAAAGACUUUGAGGUAUUGCGUUAUGCUUUAGUCUUUGUUUUUUCGAUUGAAGGUGCGACCGAAGGAGUCUUACCUUCCAGAAUGCUUAUGCUAUGUUACAUUAGUUUUACUGUAUGAAGAUAAGAGGAGACUACCUUCCGUUACUCUUUUCAUUCUGUUUUUCACUUUCCAGCGGACCUCCAGGCAAUGCUUUUGGUCAUCAUCUCAAACAAGGAAUAUAUAGAUAAAUUUAUGAUCUUCUGCAACUGUUUUUAAUUUCAUGCUGGAAGAUGAAGAAGCUGAGAGAUAUAGGACUUUCUGCAACUAGAAAUAUUAUUUCUACACUUACCUUGAAGCGUUUGCAUGUUAUAUAACUUGGGAAUUGGGCAAAGAGAUGGUUCCACAAAAUAUUAAGAACUCCAAAACUAACUGCUCUGUCCAGGUUGUGGACAAGUAGGCGAAAGGUGGUGCUUGGCUGCUUUAGUGUUUCAUACGUGAGAGGUUGUGAAAAAGUAGGCGAAAGGUAUUGUUUUGGCUGCUUUAGUGGUUCAUAAUCAAGAGGCAAUGUCAACUCUGUUGAAUUGAAAAGAUUGCUUUUAGCCUAUGUUCUUGCUCUUAUUUUCUCCUCCUGCGUUUACUUCUUAGCAUUGCUUAAGUUUUGUAAUUGCAGGUUCUAAUAUUUUUGUUGUAUACUGCAACAAAAGAAGGCUUGGAAUGAUAGACUUUCAAAACGAAUGCAUUUUUUUUUUGCCACUUUGUAAAUAUGUGGGAA